ACGUAGGGGGCAAGCGUUGUCCGGAAUGACUGGGCGUAAAGGGCGUGUAGGCGGCCUGAUAAGUAUGAAGUGAAAGUCCUGCUUUCAAGGUGGGAAUUGCUUUGUAGACUGUCGGGCUUGAGUGCGGAAGAGGUAAGUGGAAUUCCCAGUGUAGCGGUGAAAUGCGUAGAGAUUGGGAGGAACACCAGUGGCGAAGGCGACUUACUGGGCCGUAACUGACGCUGAGGCGCGAAAGCGUGGGGAGCGAACAG
rnacentral:rRNA from 1 species